rnacentral:rRNA from 1 species
GAUGAACGCUGACGGAAUGCUUAACACAUGCAAGUCUACUUGAACUUCGGUUUGGGUGGCGGACGGGUGGGUAACGCGUAAAGAACUUGCCUCACAGAUAGGGACAACAUUUGGAAACGAAUGCUAAUACCUGAUAUUAUGAUUUUAGGGCAUCCUAGAAUUAUGAAAGCUAUAUGCACUGUGAGAGAGCUUUGCGUCCCAUUAGCUAGUUGGAGAGGUAACGGCUCACCAAGGCGAUGAUGGGUAGCCGGCCUGAGAGGGUGAUCGGCCACAAGGGGACUGAGACACGGCCCUUACUCCUACGGGAGGCAGCAGUGGGGAAUAUUGGACAAUGGACCAAGAGUCUGAUCCAGCAAUUCUGUGUGCACGAUGAAGUUUUUCGGAAUGUAAAGUGCUUUCAGUUGGGAAGAAAAAAAUGACGGUACCAACAGAAGAAGUGACGGCUAAAUACGUG